rnacentral:rRNA from 1 species
UACGUAGGGAGCAAGCGUUGUCCGGAUUCACUGGGUGUAAAGGGUGCGUAGGCGGGCGAAUAAGUCAGCGGUGAAAUCUUACGGCUCAACCGUGAAACUGCCGUUGAUACUGUUUUUCUUGAGUUCGGGAGAGGUUGAUGGAAUUCCAGGUGUAGCGGUGAAAUGCGUAGAUAUCUGGAAGAACACCAGUGGCGAAGGCGGUCAACUGGCCCGAAACUGACGCUGAGGCACGAAAGCGUGGGUAGCGAACAGG